rnacentral:misc_RNA from 1 species
GAUGAAGAACGUAGCGAAAUGCGAUAAGUAGUGUGAAUUGCAGAAUUCAGUGAAUCAUCGAAUCUUUGAACGCACAUUGCGCCCCUUGGUAUCCCGAGGGGCAUGCCUGUUCGAGCGUCAUUUCACCACUCAAGCCUGGCUUGGUGUUGGGCGACGUCCCCUUUGGGGACGCGCCUCGAAACGCUCGGCGGCGUGGCACCGGCUUUAAGCGUAGCAGAAUCUUUCGCUUUGGAAGUCGGGGCCCCGUCUGCCGGAAGACCUACUCGCAAGGUUGACCUCGGAUCAGGCAGGGAUACCCGCUUAACUUAAGCAUAUCAAUAAGCGGAGGA